rnacentral:rRNA from 1 species
UUGCGGUGAAUACGUUCCCGGGUCUUGUACACACCGCCCGUCAAGCCAUGAAAGUGACCAACACCCGAAGUCCGAUUCGUCGGCCUAAGGUGGGGGGCAUGAUUGGGGUU